GUUAGUAAAUCUUAGUAAAUCUGGAUGUGGCGACCUGGUCUGGAGAGAGCCACAAAGUUAUAUGCACAAAUUUUUGUAGCAGAACACAUGAGAAAGAUGAGGUCAGGAGAGAGCAUAGAUGACUGACUUGAGGAUUGGUGCUCCUUUCCUGUCCCCAGGAUGAUCGUGUCUAGGCACGUAGCAAUGGAGGAGUGCUGGUAUAAGGCGUCAUGCCAUGGAUUAGGCUUCUGAGAUCGCCGCCGGGGAGCUAUAGAUGAUGAAGAUCUGCCAUCAUAUCGGUAGAGAAGACGGUCGCCGCCGCGCCAAGGACGGCUCGGCUUCUGAGAUCGUGAUUCUUUUUCAUUUGCUGACCUAGAAAAUAGAGGAAGGAGAGUCGUGAGAUAUGGGAUGUGAGAUAUUUGUUUUUUGACAGCAUGAG
rnacentral:lncRNA from 1 species